GGUGCGUAGGCGGCUUUUUAAGUCAGUGGUGAAAUCCUGCCGCUUAACGGUAGAAUUGCCAUUGAUACUGAAAGGCUUGAGUUCAGUUGAGGUAAGCGGAAUGUGUAGUGUAGCGGUGAAAUGCUUAGAUAUUACACAGAACACCAAUUGCGAAGGCAGCUUACUAAACUGACACUGACGCUGAUGCACGAAAGCGUGGGGAGCGAACAGGAUUAGAUACCCUGGUAGUCCACGCCGUAAACGAUGUUCACUCGCUGUUUGCGAUACACAGCAAGCGGCCAAGCGAAAGCAUUAAGUGAACCACCUGGGGAGUACGAUCGCAAGGUUGAAACUCAAAGGAAUUGACGGGGGCCCGCACAAGCGGAGGAACAUGUGGUUUAAUUCGAUGAUACGCGAGGAACCUUACCUGGGCUUAAAUGUAGAACGACAGAUUGUGAAAGCAGUCCUUCUUCGGACGUUUUACAAGGUGCUGCAUGGUUGUCGUCAGCUCGUGCCGUGAGGUGUCGGGUUAAGUCCCAUAACGAGCGCAACCCUUAUCGUUAGUUGCCAGCGGGUCAAGCCGGGGACUCUAGCGAGACUGCCACCGUAAGGUGUGAGGAAGGUGGGGAUGACGUCAAAUCAGCACGGCCCUUAUGUCCAGGGCUACACACGUGUUACAAUGGCCGGUACAAAGGGCAGCUACUUCGCGAGAAGAUGCUAAUCUCGAAAGCCGGUCUCAGUUCGGAUCGAAGUCUGCAACCCGACUUCGUGAAGCUGGAUUCGCUAGUAAUCGCAUAUCAGCCAUGAUGCGGUGAAUACGUUCCCGGGCCUUGUACACACCGCCCGUCAAACAAUGGAAGCUGGGGGUACCUGAAGUCUGUAACCGCAAGGAGCGGCC
rnacentral:rRNA from 1 species